rnacentral:hammerhead_ribozyme from 1 species
AUCCAGCUGACGAGUCCCAAAUAGGACUAAUUGGCGCGCGUCCUGUAU